GGGCUGAGAGCUUCAACCAAAUAUUAAAGGUGAAAAAAAAUAGGAAUCACAAACGGAAAAAGUGAACUCCGGCCAUGCCAGCCAUGACCAAAAUAGAUAUUCGCAGAGGUAGGUAUGGAAUCAUAUUGAAAAAUAACAUUUUCAGUCAUUCUUUCCUGCUGGUUUGACAUAUAUAAUGUGGUCGUCAUCGUAUUUCACGCGAAAUGCCGGU
rnacentral:lncRNA from 1 species